GUCUUCGUGGUGUAAUGGCCAGCACACUCGGCGCGUAUUCGAGAAGUCCAAGGUUCAAAUCCCAGCGAGGGCA
rnacentral:tRNA from 1 species